CCAGGAAAACGAGGAGAAGGAUGAAUCUCAUUGAAGUAAAGAAGAAGAAGAAACGAGAA
rnacentral:ribozyme from 1 species